GAAUCUGCCUGGUAGUGGGGGAUAACGUUCGGAAACGGACGCUAAUACCGCAUACGUCCUACGGGAGAAAGCAGGGGACCUUCGGGCCUUGCGCUAUCAGAUGAGCCUAGGUCGGAUUAGCUAGUUGGUGGGGUAAUGGCUCACCAAGGCGACGAUCCGUAACUGGUCUGAGAGGAUGAUCAGUCACACUGGAACUGAGACACGGUCCAGACUCCUACGGGAGGCAGCAGUGGGGAAUAUUGGACAAUGGGCGAAAGCCUGAUCCAGCCAUGCCGCGUGUGUGAAGAAGGUCUUCGGAUUGUAAAGCACUUUAAGUUGGGAGGAAGGGUUGUAGAUUAAUACUCUGCAAUUUUGACGUUACCGACAGAAUAAGCACCGGCUAACUCUGUGCCAGCAGCCGCGGUAAUACAGAGGGUGCAAGCGUUAAUCGGAAUUACUGGGCGUAAAGCGCGCGUAGGUGGUUUGUUAAGUUGGAUGUGAAAUCCCCGGGCUCAACCUGGGAACUGCAUUCAAAACUGACUGACUAGAGUAUGGUAGAGGGUGGUGGAAUUUCCUGUGUAGCGGUGAAAUGCGUA
rnacentral:rRNA from 1 species